AGUGAACGCUGGCGGCGUGCCUAAUACAUGCAAGUCGAACGGAGAUUAAAUAGCUUGCUAUUUAAUCUUAGUGGCGCACGGGUGAGUAAUAUAUAGUUAAUCUGCCCCAUAGUGGAGGACAACAGUUAGAAAUGACUGCUAAUACUCCAUACUCCUUCUUAUCAUAAGUUAAGUCGGGAAAGUUUUUCGCUAUGGGAUGAGACUAUAUCGUAUCAGCUAGUUGGUGAGGUAAUGGCUCACCAAGGCUAUGACGCGUAACUGGUCUGAGAGGAUGAUCAGUCACAUUGGAACUGAGACACGGUCCAAACUCCUACGGGAGGCAGCAGUAGGGAAUAUUGCGCAAUGGGGGAAACCCUGACGCAGCAACGCCGCGUGGAGGAUGACACUUUUCGGAGCGUAAACUCCUUUUGUUAGGGAAGAAUAAUGACGGUACCUAACGAAUAAGCACCGGCUAACUCCGUGCCAGCAGCCGCGGUAAUACGGAGGGUGCAAGCGUUACUCGGAAUCACUGGGCGUAAAGGACGCGUAGGCGGAUUAUCAAGUCUCUUGUGAAAUCUAGUGGCUUAACCACUAAACUGCUUGGGAAACUGAUAAUCUAGAGUAAGGGAGAGGCAGAUGGAAUUCUUGGUGUAGGGGUAAAAUCCGUAGAGAUCAAGAAGAAUACUUAUUGCGAAGGCGAUCUGCUAGAACUUAACUGACGCUAUGCGUGAAAGCGUGGGGAGCAAACAGG
rnacentral:rRNA from 1 species